rnacentral:antisense_RNA from 1 species
UUGUGUUUUUCAUGUCAAAAUAUGGCAUAAUUGAGUCUGCAGGUUUUUCCUUAACAAACAUGUGUUGUAAUGGGGUAAGUGGAUGAUUUCUGUCUUUAGAAGUUUCUUCUAAUAACUGUUCAACCCAGUCUUCAAAUUCUACCAUUUCUAACUCAAUAUCCAAUAAUUUAAGUGCUGCUUUUAUAUCAUUCAUAUUUGCCCAUCCUUCAGAGUCUAAAUUAAAAUCAUUAUUAAUUGAUAAAGACGGAUUGUUCAUUCCAAAACAACAAACUUGACAGCAAAAAUCGACCGAAACUAAAUGAAUUGCCAUUUUUGUUCUAGGUAAAGUCCCCAUCUUAAUGCAUCCCUUCACAAAUGCAUUUGGGAGGUCCGAAAUAUUGGAUGCGCCUGUAAUGCUGUUUCCUCCUAUUCUUCCUGGUCUAUAUAUGGCUAUAGGGAAUCCUCUUUUUCUUGCUGAUCUAAGAAUUCUUUCUGCUGCCCAUUUAGAUUGUGAAUAACCCAAUAAUAGUGAUUUGUGAUGAGUUCCUUCAUCGUCAUUUGUAAUCACUGGGUCAUCUUCGUAAAAUAUUCUUCUUCCAUCAUCCAAAAAGUAAGUUCUUUCCAUAAAUUCAGUAUUUUCCAAGCCAGAUAAAUACGGUUCUACUGGAGGAUUUUCAAUAUGAUCAUAAAAAACUCCCAAAGUUGAUACAUGAUGUAUUGGAAUAAUGCAAGAAUUACAUUUUCCUUUUUCAGUACAAUUUUUGCUACAAUGGUUGGGAGCAGAAGAGAGAUUUAGCAACUCUACAAUGCUUAAUACAUUCACAUUUUUAAUAUUUGAAUAAGAAGAUGUGAAGUUUACCACAGCACCAAUAUGAAUAAUGGAAUCUAUUGAAUUUACUAUCUCUUUAUAUUCAGUUUUAUUUAUACCAAAAUAUGGGAUUGAAGUGUCUCCAAC